rnacentral:tRNA from 1 species
UCCCUGGAGGACUAGUGGUUCAGCCACAGCGCUCUCACUGCUGAAGCCCGGGUUCGACUCCUGGCCUGGAG